UGGUGGAGUGAUUUGUCUGGUUAAUUCCGUUAACGAACGAGACCUCCGCGUGCUAAAUAGUCCCGCUUACAAUUUUUGUAGGUUUUGGGACUUCUUAGAGGGACUUUUGGGUAAUCAAACCAAAGGAAGUUGGAGGCAAUAACA
rnacentral:rRNA from 1 species